rnacentral:rRNA from 1 species
AUAUAUGGCCUUAUCAUGUUGAAUGCAAUUCUCUUCCAAUCACCUAAGUUAAGCAACGUUGAGCCUAGUUAGUACUUAAAUGGGUGACCGCUUGAGAAACCUAGGUGCUGUAACCA